rnacentral:rRNA from 1 species
UACGGAGGGUGCAAGCGUUAUCCGGAUUCACUGGGUUUAAAGGGUGCGUAGGCGGACAGGUAAGUCAGUGGUGAAAUCUCUGGGCUUAACCCAGAAACUGCCGUUGAUACUAUUUGUCUUGAAUAUCCUGGAGGUAGGCGGAAUAUGUCAUGUAGCGGUGAAAUGCAUAGAUAUGACAUAGAACACCAAUUGCGAAGGCAGCUCGCUAAACAAUUAUUGACGCUGAGGCACGAAAGCGUGGGGAUCAAACAGG